ensembl:lncRNA
GUCCUCUCUGAUCUCAGAAUACUACUGUAGCUAGCUCACCCUCAGAUAAUGGUACACACUGGUAAAACCUGAAUACACAUAUUUAUAAAAUGGGGAAGUAAAUGUAAUUCUAUCUUUUAUAUUUGGUGACACCAACAUUUCCAUUAAAGACUGUAUAGUAUCAUAAAUUUAUUAGUAUUAAAUAGGCAACUUGAAAUAAAAAGAUAAAGCAUGUUUUCUAACAAUUACACCAAAGUCAGGUGGUACCAUUUUGUACAAUGGCAAUAACGGCAUGGUUCUUGGAGAUUUUCAGUGAAUCAGGAUUUUUUUUCUGAUACCACAUUAUGAGUAAGCCUUAUAGUCAGGCUCUGGAAGGCUAUUGGAAUAGGUAAUUAAAUGCAGUCUGUGCACUGACUGGCACAGAAGGUGAAGAGAGAAGAAGUCAUACUGGCUGGUGAUGUUCUCUGUUGCUGUGACAAGAUUUGAGAAACUGGAUGAAACCAAACCCAGUGAGUUCCCAAUCCAGAGCUGCCCACUUUCACAGUCACAGGUAUAUAUGAAUGGUUCUUGCUUGCUUCAUGCUGGGGAAUGUCCACUGACGUUGCCUGCAAACUUCUGGCCACUUGGAAAACCAUAGCCUCUUCAUCACUGCUAAAGUCAGUGCUGGAGCAGCUGAAGCCUCUCAGACAUGUGUGACCCUGUUCCACACCCAGCACUACCCUUUAUUUCUCUCAUUCAAAUACAGUCUUUGCCUUAAGGAAGCAACAAGAGUAUGCCUAUGACCAAAGCCUAGAAAAUACUGAAAAUAAAGAUUGUAUUCAGUUGUAGGAUGAUAGCUGAUUUUUAUUCCAUUUUAUAAAAUGUAUUUCAUGAUGUUAUAAUAUUAUUUUCCUAAUGAAACCAUCAAGUGCUUUGUGAUUUCUAGGUUUGCCCCAAGGUGGCAGAGAAAUAUCCACAUGUCCAUCACUUCUGUGAAAUGCUAUUUGGAAUUCCAUGUCCAGUCACCCUGUUAACACUGUAACGCAGCACAGCACCACUUGCUAAGGAUCUCUAAACGCUCUAUGUGUGAUCAUUGCAUGAGUGGUCAAUUUCUUGUGCUAGGGUGACAGGGUAAGGAAAAACACCCACACUGGUGAAUUGCUGACGAAGGUCAGACCUUCACCUCAGCCAAGCGCAGUACUUAAAUAGUAUGUCUUCAGGGCCUCUCCCUUUAUACUUCUUCCAUGCUUUUUUGGUAGGACCUCAAAAUGAUACAUUUCAAAGUCUCCCUUUCCCAUCAAAACAUUGUCACAUUUUCUUAGGGCUCUAGUCAUUGCAAAGGGUUAAUAGGUAGUAAUGGAUUAAUUUCAGAAGUUGAUCCCUUGCACUAUCUACACAGUGUUGUAACUCAAGUAAAACACCUUUCACUACUAUUUAGUCUCUUUAGGAGACAGGGGUUGGUCAGUUGUAUCAAAAUAUUUCAUAUCACACUUGUAACAUAGCUGCUCACUAUAAUUCUGCUUAAGGGUAAACUUACUCAAGAACAUCAAUAUCAUUUCUCAUCAAAUGAUCAGAGAAACUUCCUUGUCCUUCAUCCUCCUCUUCGUUUACAGCAUCCCUAAAUAAUGAUUCCAACAGCUAAAGGCAAUAGGCCCGAGAGGAUUUUGGGAAUUUAGACAACCUCCUUCCUACUACAGCCAAACUAUCUUUUCCAGUUCUGCAACAAAUAUGGAGUUUGCUAAACUGAACUUCUCUGAGCAUCAGUUCUCUUAAGCAAAAAAGAGUUAUUGUGAUGAUUAGAAAUAAUGUAUGCAAAGUAGCUAAUUACAGACCUGGCUUUCAGUAGGCAAUCAAUAAAUUGUAACUAUUUUUAUUUUGCUUAUAAGCUAGAUUUUCUUACUGGGGUGGUACGUACUAUAGAAAACUAGCAGAGUCUAGACAAGGAAAAAAUAUACAAAAUUAAUUAAAGCCACAACCAGAUCCUCAGAAAAUGUUUGCAAACCUGUUCUAAGAUGCAUGUGGCACCAGUGACUGUAGGAUAUAUGACUUCUUUGGGCGCUGGACUAGGAUUAGGCAAGUGAGGCACCUAGAGUGCAAAAUUUAAGGAGGCAUUCACUUUCAGGGGAAAACCCUGGACUCAGAUAACCCUGGGAGUGGGUGCUUCCUUAAAUCUGAUACCCUGGACACUUCACUGCCUCAGCCUAGUCCAGGCCCUGUCUGACUUCUGCCUCCUUUCAGAGGGCAUAGGAGAGAGUGUGGUCUACUGUGUGGAGUGGCAUGGGGAGCCAGAGCAGCCACCAAGAGAACACCCUGGCCUCAGAUAUUAGUGCUCUGGGGUCACAGGAAAAAGAGGAGCUAGGGAACAAUUAGGGGAGAGAUAGACUACAAAUCAAGUUGGCCCACUGCUAUUUUAGAGCUCUUUUAGUAAUGCAUAACAGAGUGCUCUCAGCAAAUUAAAGUUGGCAUCUCAAAUGACUAAUUUGAUGGGAAUAACAGAGCAAUCAAUAUGUGAGUAGCCCUAUACACACCCGCUACUAAACACUGAGAAGUGUACAGUGUUUGUGAGCGACCACACAUUGAAUGACCCCUUUUAUUUUUCCUUAUUUUCCAUGGCAUUGCUUAUUGAUCUGAACCUGGUGCUCUGUGUAAUUCAUUCAUUCAUCUAACAAACAGGUGUCUGGCACAGAGCUAGCUUCUGAAGGUACAAAGAAGAAUGAGGCAGGGUCCCUUCACUUGAGGAGCAGACUGCCUAGCAAGGGUGGAAUGCAGGGCCAUGGUGUCAGGGAAGGGGAAAGAAUGGGGAAGCGCUCACCAAACGUCAAAGCUCUGAACAUUGGCACUUCAGUCUAAGAAAGAACCAAAUCAAUGCUGUUUGAAACCAUUAGGUAGGUCUAUUAGGUUCCAUUUGAGAUCAGCUAAAUAAAACAACCACUGGAAACAACUGAAAAAAGGCUCUACCUUUCAUGUCGCCAAAGGAAAGCGUCCCAAGACCAGUGACCUCACCAGCCCAUUUACUGUAACCAUAGCUUCUCAGGGAAAGGAGGCUGGCUUGGGCUCCUGUGGUUUUGGACUUGUGUCUUUUGGCUGGUGCCAAAGGCAGGAGCAUCUGGGCUUUCUUAUCAGGGGAAUGGGAAGUGGUGAGACUUGAAACC